GUUGACCUCGGAUCAGGUAGGAAUACCCGCUGAACUUAAGCAUAUCAAUAAGCGGAGGAAAAGAAACCAACAGGGAUUGCCCUAGUAACGGCGAGUGAAGCGGCAACAGCUCAAAUUUGAAAUCUGGCUCUCGGGCCCGAGUUGUAAUUUGUAGAGGAUGUUUUUGAUGCGGUGCCUUCCGAGUUCCCUGGAACGGGACGCCAUAGAGGGUGAGAGCCCCGUCUGGUUGGAUGCCAAAUCUCUGUAAAACUCCUUCAACGAGUCGAGUAGUUUGGGAAUGCUGCUCUAAAUGGGAGGUAUAUGUCUUCUAAAGCUAAAUACCGGCCAGAGACCGAUAGCGCACAAGUAGAGUGAUCGAAAGAUGAAAAGCACUUUGAAAAGAGAGUUAAAAAGUACGUGAAAUUGUUGAAAGGGAAGCGUUUAUGACCAGACUUGGACUUGGAUAAUCAUCUGGGGUUCUCCCCAGUGCACUUGCCCAUUCCAGGCCAGCAUCAGUUUUCCCCGGGGGAUAAAGACUUUGGGAAUGUGGCUCCCUUCGGGGAGUGUUAUAGCCCAUUGUGUAAUACCCUGGGGGGGACUGAGGUUCGCGCAUCUGCAAGGAUGCUGGCGUAAUGGUCAUCAAUGAC
rnacentral:rRNA from 1 species